rnacentral:rRNA from 1 species
GAUGAACGCUGGCGGCGUGCCUAAUACAUGCAAGUCGAGCGAACAGACGAGGAGCUUGCUCCUCUGACGUUAGCGGCGGACGGGUGAGUAACACGUGGAUAACCUACCUAUAAGACUGGGAUAACUUCGGGAAACCGGAGCUAAUACCGGAUAAUAUAUUGAACCGCAUGGUUCAAUAGUGAAAGACGGUUUUGCUGUCACUUAUAGAUGGAUCCGCGCCGCAUUAGCUAGUUGGUAAGGUAACGGCUUACCAAGGCAACGAUGCGUAGCCGACCUGAGAGGGUGAUCGGCCACACUGGAACUCAGACACGGUCCAGACUCCUACGGGAGGCAGCAGUAGGGAAUCUUCCGCAAUGGGCGAAAGCCUGACGGAGCAACGCCGCGUGAGUGAUGAAGGUCUUCGGAUCGUAAAACUCUGUUAUUAGGGAAGAACAAAUGUGUAAGUAACUAUGCACGUCUUGACGGUACCUAAUCAGAAAGCCACGGCUAACUACGUG